rnacentral:sRNA from 1 species
UUUUAAAUCACUUAUAUCGAAUAUUUGUAUUACUUAUAAUUGAUGUAAAGAAAUUUUACAUCACUUAAAUAAACGAUUCGUAUCUUGUUGAUGAAAAUAAUUUACAUCGAUUUAUUAACAACUGAUGCAACUUCACAUAAUAUUUGCAUCGCUUGUUAUAACUGAUGUUUACUUUGAGUCGGUUAUAAAAACUGAUGUGAUAUUUACAUCAUUUUCUAUAAGUGAUGAUAUUAUUUACAUCACUUUGUCUAAACGAUGUUAGUAUUUGUAACGGUUAAAAAAACCUGAUGUGAUAUUU